UGCCGGGAACCACGCGGCAGCAGGCCGGUGAACCCCGCCAGGACCGGAAGGUAGCAACGGUAAGUCGAACCUCUGUGCGAUGUGGACCUCCCGGCGCUC
rnacentral:SRP_RNA from 2 species